rnacentral:rRNA from 1 species
CUGGCGGCGUGCUUAACACAUGCAAGUCGAACGCGAAAGGGGACUUCGGUCCUGAGUAAAGUGGCGCACGGGUGAGUAACGCGUAGAUAACCUGCUUCAUGUCUGGAAUAAUACGCCGAAAGGGGUACUAAUACCGGAUAUUCUUGCUUUUCAUAAGUUAUGCAAGCAAAGGUGGCCUCUGCAUAUGCUACUGCAUGAAGAGGGGUCUGCGUACCAUUAGCUAGUAGGUGGGGUAAUGGCCUACCUAGGCGACGAUGGUUAGCGGGUCUGAGAGGAUGAUCCGCCACACUGGCACUGGAACACGGGCCAGACUCCUACGGGAGGCAGCAGUGAGGAAUAUUGCGCAAUGGGGGAAACCCUGACGCAGCGACGCCGCGUGAGUGAGGAAGGCCUUCGGGUCGUAAAGCUCUGUCAAGAGGAAAGAAGUGUACAAUGGCUAAUACCUGUUGUAUUUGACGGUACCUCUAAAGGAAGCACCGGCUAACUCCGUGCCAGCAGCUGC